rnacentral:misc_RNA from 1 species
GGAAACUUUUAAAGGGAAAGAAGCGUGGCUGGGAUUUGAACCUUGAGCUUCUGUGUUGAGACCAGCACUUAACCACAGAAAUACUAGCCUUUUUUUUUUUUUUUUUNNNNUUUUUUUUUUGCAUCAAUAAGGAUGCAAAAAACAGAACCUAAACACAUAAAAUUCUUGGUAUUUAACCAGAAAAAGGUGAGGUUUUUUACCAUACAUUAAUACACGUACUAAAGGU